GACAUGCUGCGGCUCUACAUGACGCGUGGAGCGGUAACAGAAAGUAGCUUGCUACUUUGCUGACGAGCGGCGGACGGGUGAGUAAUGCUUGGGAACAUGCCUUGAGGUGGGGGACAACAGUUGGAAACGACUGCUAAUACCGCAUAAUGUCUACGGACCAAAGGGGGCUUCGGCUCUCGCCUUUAGAUUGGCCCAAGUGGGAUUAGCUAGUUGGUGAGGUAAUGGCUCACCAAGGCGACGAUCCCUAGCUGGUUUGAGAGGAUGAUCAGCCACACUGGGACUGAGACACGGCCCAGACUCCUACGGGAGGCAGCAGUGGGGAAUAUUGCACAAUGGGCGCAAGCCUGAUGCAGCCAUGCCGCGUGUGUGAAGAAGGCCUUCGGGUUGUAAAGCACUUUCAGUCAGGAGGAAAGGGUGGUGGUUAAUACCCGUCAUCUGUGACGUUACUGACAGAAGAAGCACCGGCUAACUCCGUGCCAGCAGCCGCGGUAAUACGGAGGGUGCGAGCGUUAAUCGGAAUUACUGGGCGUAAAGCGUACGCAGGCGGUUUGUUAAGCGAGAUGUGAAAGCCCCGGGCUCAACCUGGGAACUGCAUUUCGAACUGGCAAACUAGAGUGUGAUAGAGGGUGGUAGAAUUUCAGGUGUAGCGGUGAAAUGCGUAGAGAUCUGAAGGAAUACCGAUGGCGAAGGCAGCCACCUGGGUCAACACUGACGCUCAUGUACGAAAGCGUGGGGAGCAAACGGGAUUAGAUACCCCGGUAGUCCACGCCGUAAACGAUGUCUACUAGAAGCUCGGAGCCUCGGUUCUGUUUUUCAAAGCUAACGCAUUAAGUAGACCGCCUGGGGAGUACGGCCGCAAGGUUAAAACUCAAAUGAAUUGACGGGGGCCCGCACAAGCGGUGGAGCAUGUGGUUUAAUUCGAUGCAACGCGAAGAACCUUACCUACACUUGACAUACAGAGAACUUACUAGAGAUGGGUUUGGUGCCUUCGGGAACUCUGAUACAGGUGCUGCAUGGCUGUCGUCAGCUCGUGUUGUGAGAUGUUGGGUUAAGUCCCGCAACGAGCGCAC
rnacentral:rRNA from 1 species